GCCCUGCUCCUCCUCUUCAACAACACCCAGCACCCAGCCCAGCGUUGAUUGAACUCGUCUCUUGACAGCACCGCACAACAUACUUUUUGUUCCUUCACGGAAAUCACCGCUUUUUAAAUCGCUCAUUAAAGGCAACAAUAAAUUCGUCGAAUUGAUCUUUGAAUCUCGUUAUAAAGAGAUAUAUUGUGAAAAAUAUCCAUAUGGCUGUCACGUAUGUGGAUGAUUGCAUUUUUUGCAAAAUCAUCAAAUCUGAAGCACCUGCCGAGAAUAUUUACGAGGAUGACGAAGUUCUUUGCAUCAAAGACAUCAAACCUGCGUCUAGGCAUCAUUAUCUAAUUAUUCCAAAAACUCAUAUACCAAAUGCCAAAAGUUUGAAAGCUGAAGAUGAACCGUUGUAUGACAAACUUGUUAAUACGGUCGCUUCGGUGUGCACCCAACAGGGCAUAAAUACUUCCUCGAUGCGAACAGGAUUCCAUUGGCCGCCGUGCAAUAGCGUCAACCACUUGCAUCUCCAUGUCAUUGCCCCGGUGAAUGAAAUGGGCUUUGUUCAUAGACUAAUGUUCAAAGAAAAUUCUUUUUGGUUUGUUAGCACCGAUUAUGUGAAAUCGCUCUUCAAAGAUGCCAGAUGAUGAAUAAUGUUGAACAAUCUAUAUGCGCGAACGACCGUGACGGUUCGACUAGAUUAUUGGCAAUUAGCAAUUUUUUUUCAAAGGAAAAAGAGCUUUGGGCGCAAUAUAAUGAGCAUUUUGCACUACCGCUGGACAUACAAAAUGCUCGUGUUGCUGAUCCACGAACUCGAUCAUACGGUUUUCCGUCGUUCCGCUCAGACAAACGAAAUCCC
rnacentral:misc_RNA from 1 species